AUACGGAGGGUGCAAGCGUUAAUCGGAAUUACUGGGCGUAAAGCGCGCGUAGGCGGCUUGUUAAGUCGGAUGUGAAAGCCCCGGGCUCAACCUGGGAAUUGCAUUCGAUACUGGCAGGCUAGAGUAUGGUAGAGGGAAGCGGAAUUCCGGGUGUAGCGGUGAAAUGCGUAGAUAUCCGGAGGAACACCAGUGGCGAAGGCGGCUUUCUGGACCAAUACUGACGCUGAGGUGCGAAAGCGUGGGGAGCAAACAGGAUUAGAUACCCCAGUAGUCC
rnacentral:rRNA from 1 species